rfam:Larimichthys crocea isolate SSNF unplaced genomic scaffold scaffold81, whole genome shotgun sequence.
GUCGGCUAUGGUGAUAUGGUGCCAACUACGAUUGGCGGCAAGAUUGUGGGUUCCCUCUGUGCCAUUGCAGGUGUGCUGACCAUUGCCUUGCCCGUACCUGUCAUUGUGUCCAAC